UUAGAAUUAGAAAAUAAAGAAGAGAGAAAGAAAAAGAAUAUAAUUUGGUGAGUAAGUAGGCACAUGAGACGUGUCUUGUUUAGGAAAAUAGAGGGAAAAGAAAAAAAAAAGAAUUAAGAAUUAGAAAAUAGAUCAAAAAUCCAUCCUUCUUCUUCUCUCUCUCGACGCAUGCUCCCUCCUUCACUGUAAAAUUUCAACAGCUCUCUACUCUCUCCGAUCAGCCACCGUUAUAUCUCCAAUCACUCCACCGGGAAGCAUGUAGUACCCACCACCAGUCCAAGCUCUCAAUUCCCCCUAGUUUUUCUUAAUUUUGGAGCUCAAGUUGAAAAUCCACCUCCACUUAGCUUUGCAAAUUAGUUGAAAUUAGAGGUGAACCGAGUGCAAGCACAAGCGAUAGGGGAAAGGGGCACAUCCAUGGUUGACUAAACAAGUAAUAGAGUUUUUGUUGACGUGUACAGGUAGUGUACGCGUGUUCUAGAAUUUAAUUUCUUUAACUUUGAUAAAUAUUACUACUUGUUUGUGUGGAUUGUAUACUUCAAGGUAAAGUGACAGAAACAGUGAUAUUGAAAGAUGAGAUACUAAAAUUGUGGUUUGAUAUUUCUUAUGAGAUGCAAGGUGAUUUAUAUA